CACACGCCCACACGGCAGGCGCCGGGCGGGCGGCGUCUGUCUCUUUCUGCUUGCCGUAGGAGGCGGUGCGGCGCAGACAGUGGGCCGCCGCCUCCGCCGCUGCCUCAGGGGGCAAGUAACGCAGACCCCGCGGCUAGCCGCCCCGAGGAGCCUGGCGCCCGUGGACAGGUGGGCUUCCCGCCCAGAGACGCUCGGGCUGCCCGCACGGCCCGGGAGACCCCGCCAGCAGCCUGUCCGCGGUUCGCCUCGGCGGCCGGGGAAGGAGGGAGGGCGGCGCGGACGGCCGUCCCGGUCCUCGCGGGCGGCCGUCCCGGUCCUCGCGGGCGGCAGCUGGCCCGGCGUCGGGCUCCCCAGUUUCUGGUACCGAAGCGCAGACGGGUUUCCUUGUCGGAGCCACGCACCGUUAAUGUAAGGCCGUAGGGUCUUCUGUGCCAUCUGGCCCUUCCAUUGCGUCAUGUCUGUUACGCUCCUCCCGCCUGCUGGUGUGUUGGCUCCGCGACAGCAGUUCAGCUACCGUGGCCUAUGUUUCCUCUUCAACCCACAGAGAGGUCAACCUGAAUCAACAUGUCUGGGACUGAAGAAGCAAUUCUUAGCGGCCGUGACAGCCAUCCUGCUGGUGGCAACUCUGUAUUAUGCUUUGGUCAGUACCAAUACACAGCAGAAGAGUCCCAGGCCAUCCAGAAUGCUCUGAGGCAGAGGCUGGGCCCAGAAUACAUAAGUAGCCGCGUGGCUGGAGGAGGCCAGAAGGUGUGUUACAUUGAGGGUCACAGGGUAAUUAAUCUGGCCAAUGAGAUGUUUGGCUACAAUGGCUGGGCACACUCUAUCACACAACAGAACGUGGAUUUUGUUGACCUUAACAAUGGCAAGUUCUACGUGGGCGUCUGUGCGUUUGUGAGAGUCCAGCUGAAGGAUGGUUCGUAUCAUGAGGACGUGGGCUAUGGUGUUAGCGAGGGCCUCAAGUCCAAAGCCUUGUCUUUGGAGAAGGCGAGGAAGGAGGCAGUGACCGAUGGGCUGAAGCGAGCACUGAGAAGUUUCGGGAAUGCACUUGGAAAUUGUAUUCUGGACAAAGACUAUCUGAGGUCACUAAACAAGCUUCCACACCAGCUGCCUCUCGAAGUGGACUUAACUAAAGCAAAGAGACAAGACUUUGAACCAUCUGUGGAACAAGCCAGAUAUAGCAGCUGCCGACAGAACCUGGCUCUGGGACCCCCCAAACCACAGGAGGUGACAUCCCCUUGCAGACCAAGCCACCACGUUGUGACGCAGGGGACGAGGACAGCAGCUCCGGGUGCAGGCCGCGUGCCCUCCCCGCCCCUGCUCCUUCCCAGAAGCGCGACCUCCACUGCCACAGAGAGCGAUGCCACGUACCAGCGGAAGCUCCGGCAAAGACAGCUGCAGCAGCGGUUCCGGGAGCAGAUGGAGAAACAGCAGCAGGAAGCCCCGUCUGGCCCGCCCACCGAGAAGCAGGGCCCUGCAGCGCUGCCACCGGUGCCACCUGCCGGAACUGCUGCUUCAGAGCCGCUCACCCAGACAGACGUGCUUCCAGACAGUCUUGAAAUGUGGGACAUGGCUCUAGAUGCAGGGGACAGUGUGGUCAAGCCCUUGUCUAAACCAGAACCGCCGCAGGCCCGUGCCACCUCCGUCCUGCAGAACGAGAUGGAGACCUGGAACAGGACCCCACAGAGCCUUUGCCACCAGAAUCCACAGGCAAAAUCUGGACCCUGGCACCUUCACAACCUUAACCAACACGUAACAGAAGUCGGAGGGGACUCACGCCAGAGCAGCAGCAGCCUGAGAAAAUGGAGUGUAACUGGAUUAAGAGCCGCACGUCUUCCUUGGGGUCCUGACUUGAGGUGCAGCUCUUUCUAGCGGAUGGUGGUGGGACGCUGAAGCGUGGCUGCAUUAAGAGCUUUCCUCUUAAAAGCAGGAGACUGUGCUUCAUAUAGGAAGAACCAGGACAUGAAGAAAAGGAGAUUGGAUCCAUCUUGACCAAGGCUCCGUUCACCUCACUGGAUUCUGU